rnacentral:rRNA from 1 species
GGAUUAGAUACCCUGGUAGUCCACACCGUAAACGAUGAGAGCUAGUUGUCAGCAAGUAUACUUGUUGGUGACGCAGCUAACGCAUUAAGCUCUCCGCCUGGGGAGUACGGCCGCAAGGUUAAAACUCAAAGAAAUUGACGGGGGCCCGCACAAGCGGUGGAGCAUGUGGUUUAAUUCGAAGCAACGCGCAGAACCUUACCUACCCUUGACAUCCUGUGCUACAUCCAGAGAUGGAUGGUCCCUUCGGGGCGCAGUGACAGGUGCUGCAUGGCUGUCGUCAGCUCGUGCCG